CGCGAAUGGCUCAUUAUAACAGCUAUAAUUUACUUGAUCUUGACACAAUCCUACUUGGAUAACUGUGGUAAUUCUAGAGCUAAUACAUGCAUUAAAGCUCUGACCUCACGGGAAGAGUGCAUUUAUUAGAACAAAACCAAGCGGCUUCGGCUGUUUCUGGUUGACUCAUAGUAACUGAGCUGAUCGCAUGGUCUUGCACCGGCGACGUGUCUUUCAAGUAUCUGCCGUAUCAACUUUCGAUGGUAGUGUAUCUGACUACCAUGGUGAUCACGCGUAACGGAGAAUAAGGGUUCGGCUCCGGAGAGUUCGCCUGAGAAAUCGCGAACACAUCUAAGGAAGGCAGCAGGCGCGAAAAUUACCCACUCUCAGCACGAGGAGGUAGUGACGAAAAAUAACGAGACCGUUCUCUUAUGAGGCCGGUCAUCGGAAUGGGUACAAUUUAAACCCUUUAACGAGUAUCUAUGAGAGGGCAAGUCUGGUGCCAGCAGCCGCGGUAAUUCCAGCU
rnacentral:rRNA from 1 species